ensembl:snRNA U6 U6 spliceosomal RNA
GUGUUUGCUUCAGCAGCACAUAUACUGAAAUUGGGCCAAUACAGAGAAUAUUAACAUUUCUCCUGUACAAUGAUGACAUGCACAUUUGUGAUGCAUUCCGUAUUUUA